GGUGGGCCAGGGCACAGCAGGUGCAGGACGGCGGCGGGGCGGCGGCCUCCCUCCACGGCCCCACGCCGCGGGGCGCCAGCUCCACGGCAGGACCGGGCAGCUGCGUCCGAGUGGCGGCAGGUGCGCUGGGAGAGGACAGCAUUUACACGGUGUCGCAGGAGGAGGGACCAGGAAGGCUGCUCGGAGGCCCACGGGGCAGCGUGUUCACAGCGGUGAUUCACAAGAGCUAGAACACGGAAGCAAGGCGGGUGUCCAUCAUCGGAUGAGGGUCUGUCCAUGCAGUGGGUUAUCAUGCAGCCUCAGACAAGAAGGACACCUGCUGCAGCGCGGACGGACCUGGAGGAGGAGCCAGCCAGUCACCAGAGGACAAGUGGUGUAGGAUUCCAUUGAGGUUAGGUUCCUAGAGUCAUCAGGGUCACAGAGACAGAGCCUAGGAUGGGGGCCGGGGAUGGAGUGUUGAACGGGGACAGAGCCUCCCUUUGGGGUGGUGACAGAGUUGCACAACAACAUGAAUGUGAAUUGCACAUUAAAUAAAAAUUAAAAAAAAUAAAAAUACUCUGGAAUC